rnacentral:rRNA from 1 species
CUGACACAGGGAGGUAGUGACAAUAAAUAACAAUGCCGGGCCUUUUUAGGUCUGGCAAUUGGAAUGAGAACAAUUUAAAUCCCUUAUCGAGGAUCAAUUGGAGGGCAAGUCUGGUGCCAGCAGCCGCGGUAAUUCCAGCUCCAAUAGCGUAUAUUAAAGUUGUUGCAGUUAAAAAGCUCGUAGUUGGAUUUCUGGUGAGUUCGUUUGGCCGGCCGUAAAGGUCUGUGCCGAAAUGUUAUUCGCCAUCCUUGGUGUAAUCUUGUCCGCCAUUAAGUUGUGUGGGCUUGAGGAUGCCAUCGUUUACUGUGAAAAAAUUAGAGUGUUCAAAGCAGGCUUAUGCCGUUGAAUACAUUAGCAUGGAAUAAUAAGAUAGGACCCUGGUACUAUUUUGUUGGUUUGCGUACCUAGGUAAUGAUUAAUAGGGACAGUUGGGGGUAUUUGUAUUCCGUUGUCAGAGGUGAAAUUCUUGGAUUUACGGAAGACAAACUACUGCGAAAGCAUUUACCAAGGAUGUUUUCAUU